CCAGGAUGGUGGGAAAUGUGGCUUAUUAAUUCCUUUUGUUUUCCCCCUGCAACACACUGCCAACAGAGAGAUUUCGCUGUGCGCUUGUAGAUUUACAGCGGAUGUUUGAGAGCUAGGUUUCUUAUUGCCCUUAUUUCUUGUUAAUAAUAGGAAGAACGUGAAUUUCUCUUGUUGCUGAUGGAGGUGAAGGCUUUUCUGUGAGCGUCUUUGGAGAACUGAACGCGGCCCAUGGAGGUGUCCACACUGAGUGUGGCGUGGACUGGCUUCACCCACAAAUGGUCCAGCCACUGUGGCUGGUGGGAAUUAGAGGAUCUGGCCUCCUGGCCCAAGGAUUGUCCUUCUUCCUCACGCACUUGCACUGUUGCCUGAGUCUUCCACUAAACCCAGUUUUAGAGAAGAAAAUGAAAGCUCUUCCAUGUAUCUUCUUGAACGUUGUAGAAUGA
rnacentral:lncRNA from 1 species